UAAUUUUGUCCCAAGUCAAAACUUUUCUAAAUUUAAUCAAAUUUAUAGAAAAAUGCACCAAUAUCCACAAUAACAAAUAAGUAUACUAUCAAGACAUAUUUCAUGAUGUAUUUAAUGAAACUAAUUUGAUAUUGUGGAUGUUGAUGCAUUUUUCUAUAAGCUCGGGCAAGUUAAAGAAGUUUGACUUAGGAGAAAACUAA
rfam:Oryza sativa Japonica Group DNA, chromosome 6, cultivar: Nipponbare, complete sequence.